rnacentral:lncRNA from 1 species
GGAGACGCAGAGUUAGUUGACAUUCCUGAGCAGUUUGGUCUUUUCCCUAGGGCUGACUUCAGAGCAACCUGUGGAACUGCUGGAUUCUAUCCCCACUUGGACUCUUCCUUUUGAACAGCUAGUGAUUGACAAAGAGGUGGUUGGUUUCUGGAUGUCUGCGGCAUGCACGCAGUGAAAUCAAGAAAAGUGGGUUCAAUAGCAAGACAGUGGAAUUUGGGCUCUAUUUUAGGGCCCAGAAGAUUGUGGCCUGUUGUCAUGACCACAUAGGCACAACAAAUUUUAUAGCAGACAAAAAUCUCACCCUGCAUCUCAAAGAGAAAAGGAACUUUCCAUUUUCUGUGGAAGCACUGCUUGCUCCAUUGUGCAUUGUGCUUUUAACCUUUUCAUCAGGAAUUGUUAAAAUGUCAACAAAUGAUGUGAAAGAAGAAAUCCAAUAAAUAUAUAUUGAGUCAUUCAUUUCAAAGCAUACCUGGAGAGCAGAUUUAAAGCAAUUGAUAAUUUAUUCCAUUUCAAUGUGUAGCUAUAGUACCGCAAUCUCUAGCCCAUAAAUGUUUACAAAGGGCUUUGAUUUGUAUUUUGAAGAUUCCAUGCUAUGAUUUGCUAUUCCAUUUUUUAUGAUGACAUAUAAGAACAAAUCAGUCUGUUAAUAUUCUGCCAAAUUUCAUAGUAGAAUUUUGUUGGAGCCUAAUAUUUUUAAAAUCUCAUGUCUCAGAAUACAACAUUCACUAAUAUGGCAUUAUAUAAAAAUGUGGAUGUAUAACUGAUGUGAUUCUGCAAUCUGUAUUUGAGGUUAAAAUGGGAGUUCAUAACCCACUUGAAUCUAAUGUAUGAAAUAUGAUAUGUCAAGAGCUUUGUAAUGUUUUGAACAACCAAUAAAGAAAAAAAAAUCUCAUGUCUCUUAAGUGCAUAGUGAGUAUGUAUAUAAAUGAAGCAACUUCCAAAUCCAGUGCACCAAAAUUGGUUUUUCAAAAAGAUCAACAAAAUUGAAAGUCCUUUAUCUGGACGUAUAAAAAAGGAAAACUCAGAUUACUAAAAUCAGAAUGAAAGUAAGAAUAUUACUAUCUAUUUUACAUUCAUAAAACAUUUAGCUGUGCACAGUGGGGAUGGUUGUAGUCAUAGAUACUCAGGAAUCUAAGACAGAUCACUUGAGCCCAGGAGUUUAAUGUCAUCAUGUUCAAC